AGUUACGUCGUACGAUGUACAC
rnacentral:rRNA from 1 species